AGGGGGCUAGUCCAAACAAGACCUCUGAUUUCGGCUCAGAAAAUCAUGGUUUAAUUCCAUGGUCCCCUU
rnacentral:tRNA from 1 species